UUCCCUCGAACGCACGACCAUAACGCCGCCGGCUCUCUCCUUGCAACCGCCCACUAUACUAGAACCGCCGAUCUCAUCUGACCCGCCACCGCUUGCGCCUUCACGACUCUCCUCCCUGCCGGAUCUAGCCUCUCCGGUGUUUGUCCUCUUCAUCCGGCCAACCCCUCACCGUCGUUGUCUCGCCGCUCGUUUACCUUGCGCCGCGGGACUGCCGGAGACGAAGACGAGCACCGUGGGGAAGUCGGUCGCCACCUAUUCCUUCACUGCCUCCGUCGUUCUAAUCCACCUCCAUCCGUUCUCCUAGAUCAUGCGGCAGCGGUACAGGUUCACGGCGGUGGGCCACCACCGAUGCGGGAUGACGUCAAGUUCGAGCUCCCUCCACAUCGCCUCCUCAAUGGUCUCCGGCCAGCAGCCCCGCUCGUGGCACGUCCGUUCAGCUCAGGUAUCUCCACCUGGCCGAUGCCUCCUCGUAGUCGCUUCGCCUACCUCCCUUCUGGCAGCACCGCCGGCAUGGUAAGUCCACCUUAAGGCUGCUGUAUCGCUCAACCCUCUACCCCGUCGCCCCCUUCUCUGAUUGCUUGUUAACAAUUUAACUAAUUCACCAAUUGAAUUGUUAACUGCUGCACACUGAGAUGCAAUUUCCUCGUCCAUACCUAACUUCAUAUUGUCGUAGCUUUAUGAAUCUGCUUAAUUGCAAACCAAUUACUACUAAUAAUCAUCCCCUGCGGCACUACUAUCCUCUACUCAAGUGGCAACUAAUUAGUGGCAAUCAUACUUGCAGUUCACUUCAACAAUGUUACGUCAUCCAAUCUGCUCUGUUUUCCUUCGCAGGGUACAGGAGGUGUGAGAUCCAUAAUGCUAGCUUCAGCAAAGUCAUCCAAAUCUGGCCAAAGGAACUCAUGAGGAUAUUUUACAAAUUACUAUCGGUGUUCCACCCUAGUGAGAUGACUGAAUUCGUGUACACCCAGGAUACUUACCAGGGGCCCAAGCUGUGGUUUUUGAGGCUGAGAGAUGCUUGCUUUUGAACAGACGGAUCUUCAAAAAUUGGAGCCCUAUUUGACAAGAAAAUCCCUGAUUGUAAUGAUCUUGGUGGUUUGUGUGAGGAAGAUCGUGGCUUCUGUUCUGAGCCCUAUUCUUAUGAUGGGAUGAUAUGCAGCUCAUCUUUCAAGAAGUUGGGAUGGACAAAUGAAGACCAAAACAACCCACCUUCAAGACGCCAGGAGAAAAGGCCUCCAACAAAUGCAAUUUGAGGAGAGCUAUACGAUUAUGUUUAAGAGUCAAGACGACCGUCAUCUGUUAAACUAUUUCUUAGUUCUGGUGAUGCUACACGUUGUAUCAGGUUGAUAUAUAGCUUGUGUUAUUUUGGCUUAUGGGAAUGUGAAAAAUGAACCGUGAUGUGGAAUUGGCAUUGAUGUUAUA